rnacentral:rRNA from 1 species
UACGAAGGGGGCUAGCGUUGUUCGGAAUUACUGGGCGUAAAGCGCGCGCAGGCGGUCCUUCAAGUCAGAGGUGAAAGCCCAGAGCUCAACUCUGGAAUGGCCUUUGAGACUAGAGGACUUGGGUACGGGAGAGGUGAGUGGAAUUCCGAGUGUAGAGGUGAAAUUCGUAGAUAUUCGGAAGAACACCAGUGGCGAAGGCGACAUACUGGCUCAUUACUGACGCUGAGGCUCGAAAGCGUGGGGAGCAAACAGG